rnacentral:rRNA from 1 species
AUUGAACGCUGGCGGCAUGCCUUACACAUGCAAGUCGAACGGCAGCACGGGAGCAAUCCUGGUGGCGAGUGGCGAACGGGUGAGUAAAGUAUCGGAACGUGCCCAGUCGUGGGGGAUAACGUAGCGAAAGUUACGCUAAUACCGCAUACGAUCUAUGGAUGAAAGCGGGGGAUCGCAAGACCUUGCGCGAUUGGAGCGGCCGAUAUCAGAUUAGGUAGUUGGUGGGGUAAAGGCUCACCAAGCCGACGAUCUGUAGCUGGUCUGAGAGGACGACCAGCCACACUGGGACUGAGACACGGCCCAGACUCCUACGGGAGGCAGCAGUGGGGAAUUGUUCGCAAUGGGCGCAAGCCUGACGACGCAACGCCGCGUGGAGGAUGAAGAUCUUCGGGUCGUAAACUCCUUUCGAUCGAGACGAACGGCCCUUGGGCUAACACCCUGAGGGAGUGACGGUACCGAGAGAAGAAGCCCCGGCUAACUCCGUGCCAGCCGCCGCCGUAA